GUGCGUGUGCGCGAGUGUGUGUGUGUGUGUGUGUGUGUGUGUGUGUGUGUGUGUGUGUGUGUGUGUGUGUGUGUGUGUGUGUGUGUGUGUGUGUGUGUCAAUUACCCUUAGCUCAUAAAGUGGAUAAUGUGAUAAUACUUAACCAAAACAUUCCACCUCUUCGUACACACAAUACAGAGAAAACACGAACCCAACUAUGCCAGCAAACGUCUCAGGUGUGAAGCGUAAUUAAUCAAAGGUAAUCUAAGGUGUGAACAGUCAAUUUUUAGGGUACACAUUCCAUAAACAAAGCAGACGUGUAUUGCUCUUAUGUUUCUUUGUGUAUUGCUCUUAUGCUUCUUUGUUUGUCUCGUGUCUUCAGAUAAUAAUAAAUAGAUACUCAUAAGUGGGUUGUGUUAAUGCGAUGUGAAUGUAAUGUUAAGGUUCUUUACUGUGUACUUCGUGUUUCUAUGUUACACGGGCACUCAUAAAUAGGUUGUGUUAAAUAGUUUCUUGGUCCGUUUCCUGUGUUUGUGUUACAUGGAGUCAUAAAUAGGGUGAGUCAGUGCUUUUUCUUUUCUGCCUCCUAUGCUUGUGUUUCACGGGCACUCAUAAAUAGGCUGUGUUAAAUAGUUUCUUGGUCCGUUUCCUGUGUUUGUGUUACAUGGAGUCUUACAAAGAGGGUGAGUCAGUGUUUUUUCUUUGUCUGCCUCCUAUGCUUGUGUUUCACGGGUACUCAUAAGCAGGUUGUGUCGAGGUGAUGUGGCUGAUGCAUUCCAGUAACAUUCCCCAUACUGAGUGGUGAACUCCGCUUCCAUCCAUUCACAGUCCCAGUAGUAAGAUUUCAACGCUGUGCAGUAAUGUGUGUAAACUUGUUUGUUGUGUAAGAAAAUAAAUAAAAUACAUUUAACGUUU